rnacentral:rRNA from 1 species
GUACGAACGCAAGUUUGAAACUCAAAGGAAUUGACGGGGGCCCGCACAAGCGGUGGAUUAUGUGGUUUAAUUCGAUGAUACGCGAGGAACCUUACCAAGGCUUAAAUGGGAAUUGAUCGGUUUAGAAAUAGACCUUCCUUCGGGCAAUUUUCAAGGUGCUGCAUGGUUGUCGUCAGCUCGUGCCGUGAGGUGUUAGGUUAAGUCCUGCAUCGAGCGCGACCCCUGUCACUAGUUGCCAUCAUUCAGUUGGGGACUCUAGUGAGACUGCCUACGCAAGUAGAGAGGAAGGUGGGGAUGACGUCAAAUCAUCACGGCCCUUACGCCUUGGGCCACACACGUAAUACAAUGGCCGGUACAGAGGGCAGCUACACAGCGAUGUGAUGCAAAUCUCGAAAGCCGGUCUCAGUUCGGAUUGGAGUCUGCAACUCGACUCUAUGAAGCUGGAAUCGCUAGUAAUCGCGCAUCAGCCAUGGCGCGGUGAAUACGUUCCCGGGCCAUGUACACACCGCCCGUCAAGCCUUGGAAGUCUGGAGUACCUGAAGUCGGUGACCGUAAAAGGAGCUGCCUAGGGUAAAACAGGUAACUAGGGCUAAGUCGUAACA